rnacentral:rRNA from 2 species
GACGUAGGGUGCGAGCGUUAAUCGGAAUUACUGGGCGUAAAGCGUGCGCAGGCGGCUUUGCAAGACAGAUGUGAAAUCCCCGGGCUCAACCUGGGAACUGCAUUUGUGACUGCAAGGCUAGAGUACGGCAGAGGGGGAUGGAAUUCCGCGUGUAGCAGUGAAAUGCGUAGAUAUGCGGAGGAACACCAAUGGCGAAGGCAAUCCCCUGGGCCUGUACUGACGCUCAUGCACGAAAGCGUGGGGAGCAAACAGG